rnacentral:rRNA from 1 species
ACGGGUGCGUAACGCGUGGGAAUCUGCCCUUGGGUUCGGAAUAACAGUUAGAAAUGACUGCUAAUACCGGAUGAUGACUUCGGUCCAAAGAUUUAUCGCCCAGGGAUGAGCCCGCGUCGGAUUAGCUAGUUGGUGAGGUAAAGGCUCACCAAGGCGACGAUCCGUAGCUGGUCUGAGAGGAUGAUCAGCCACACUGGGACUGAGACACGGCCCAGACUCCUACGGGAGGCAGCAGUGGGGAAUAUUGGACAAUGGGCGAAAGCCUGAUCCAGCAAUGCCGCGUGAGUGAUGAAGGCCUUAGGGUUGUAAAGCUCUUUUACCCGGGAUGAUAAUGACAGUACCGGGAGAAUAAGCCCCGGCUAACUCCGUGCCAGCAGCCGCGGUAAUACGGAGGGGGCUAGCGUUGUUCGGAAUUACUGGGCGUAAAGCGCACGUAGGCGGCUUUGUAAGUUAGAGGUGAAAGCCCAGGGCUUAACCCUGGAAUUGCCUUUAAGACUGCAUCGCUAGAAUCGUGGAGAGGUGAGUGGAAUUCCGAGUGUAGAGGUGAAAUUCGUAGA